CAAGGUAGAGGCACUUCCAGCCUACACUAAAGAAAGAGGCAAUCUUACCUGCAAGAAAAUGCAAGGUAUGCCAGAUUCACAAAAACAUACGACUAAUAGGGGUAGUAAGCCCCAUCCCUUUCGCAACAUGAGGGAUAAACAGUGAAGGACCAUGUGUGGUCCAGGCUAAAUUUAUAUUUAUAGCUGUCGACUACUUUACUAAAUGGGCUAAAGCACUAGCUGUACCCAAAAUAACUCAAGGAGCAGCAAUAAAGUGCAGAUUCGAUAUUCCAAUGCAUAUAGUGACAGAUAACGGUACAUAGUUUACCGGUGGGGAGUUUACGAGAUUAUGCAAGAACAUGGGCAUAUAGAACCACUGAAAAGACACCCACCAAAGAAACCCCGUUCUCACUAGCAUAUGGAAUAAAAGCACUAAUCCCAACAGAGCUAGGCAUUCCAACAGUCAGAAUAUUAUCCUAUGAUACGGAAGAACGUAGUGUUAGACGGGGAACACAUUGGCAAGAGUAAACCUCACCUACGGAAACGUAGUGUUAGACGAGGGACGUACUCCAAAGUGAACCCCACCUACGGAAGAAAACAUGAGAUCAUGUGCGAUAACUCUGGACUUAGUGGAUGAGCUUAGGGAUAAUGUACAGGCAAAGAAUACAGCUUAUAAACAAAGUAUCGCUAGAUACCACGACAAGAAUGUCAAAGGUAAAGCGAUAAGAAAGGGAAGUCUAGUAUGAAGAAGAGCAAGUGUCGGUAGAAAAGACUGCUCUAAAAGCAAACUAGGCGCAAAUUGGGAAGGACCAUGUGUGGUGGAGGAAGAACUCCGACCAGACACGUACAGGUUAAAGCGGGAAUAUGAAACAGGCAUCCCUAAUACUUGGCACGCAGAUAACCUACAGUUGUACUUCUAAAAACAAUUAAGUAGGGUUAUACUCUUGUAAUAGUUUGAACUAUGUAACUAAUACGUUAUUUAGUUAACUAUCAGAACACUUUAAAAUACAACAGUUAACUAUUGUUAGUAAUAAGAACACUCAAAAAACAUUCCAUAUAUUGAUUUAAAAAAGAAUUACAGAGGAAUGUAAGUUACAACAAAAAGUAGAGAACUUAAUCUAUUUUAGGAAGGGGGGGAAUGUCUUCAGAACCCGCUGCAUCAUUGUUAUCUUGAUUUUCUAUAGAAAAGUCUGUAUCAAUAUCAGCAAGCGCCUGUAGAAUCUCCUCCUCUUCAUUCUCUCUCUCCUCCUCAUCUCUUUCCUCUGCAAGCGCCCGAUCACGAACUUCGGUGGCUUCUUUGGGAUUCUUACGGGCCCAGUCAUGAACAUCUGCGGCUUCAAAGCCCGGGCAAACAUGAGGACCCAGAUCAACCAAGUCAUUAUAAUCUCGUAGAUUGACGAGAAAAUCGGCUUGGAGUGUCUCCAAGUGGGUGACCACACGUUGACGCUCUUCAAUUGCAAGUCGAGCUUCCUCAGUUGCGCGAUGAGCUUCCGCAGUUGCACGGUUGACCACCUCAGAUUUUGUCUGGUCUGCUUUCUCCAGUCGCAUUAUUAUCUUCUUAUAUUCAUCCUGCGACUCCAGCAACUUCCUGUUCUCCUCGUGAAUCUCUCCCAGUUGAUCGGAGAGUGUGGAGAUCUUUUCCGAGAAGAAUCAAGGUUAACAUCUUUAUCAGUAAUCAUCGAGUCUUUGAUGAUAACCUUGGCACGUUCAGCUGCAAGUUCCAACCUCGCAGCCCCCAACUCUCCCCUAAGCUGGGAGAUGUCCUGCUCCUUUUGUUUCAGAGAGUUUCUUUGAGCAGCCCAGUCAUCAGCCAACUUUUUGUUAGUUUCAGACAAGGUUGAGGCGUCUGAAAUCUUCUGUGCAACCUCACCUUCCAAGUCUCUGCACAGGCGCUUCAUUCUCUUCAACUCAUCUUCCAUGGACUGGGAGUCACGAAGAUGAGAUAGAGAAGAGAUGCGGCCCUGGAACAAGUGAUUGAGCUGCAAAAAGAAUGAAUAAGUAAGAACACACUCAUAAAAAAUAACUAAAAGAGAAAAGGUCACUCACGUUGCUUAAAUUCUGUCCAAUCUCAUCAACAACCCGGUCCAUCGGAUACCCAGAGAUAGCCCGCAGUGUGGUACGGGUGGCAUCCGUAUCAGGGGUCAGGUAAGACCUGGACCCAUAGUUUCGUCUCCCGGAUAGCUGCGUCUCCCGGGUGGAGGAAUAGUUGAAGCGACCCCGGGAGGACUCCCCAGGAUAGUAGGUCUUCUUGCGAAGAGGACUUCGUCGUUUGGGGGAGGGUCUCCUCGACUUCCUUGGAGGAGAUGAGUGGAUCCGGGAGGGAGGAGUUCGUUCUUUUCUUCUUCUCCUCUCAGAGAUCUCUGUUUCGGUAGUUUUCUCAGUCCGCUUAGACUGAGUCUCUUUCUCCUUCUCCGCCUUCUCUCGUUCUUCUUCUGACAGAGUACGGAAGAAGCUAGAAAGUCUCGAGGCAGCAGGAGACUGCUCGGGAGUAGCGUCUUUUGGUACCUCCCCUUCCUCGGUACGUCGGACCUCGUCAGGAGUAGGGGACGUCGCCAUUGUGUAGGCGUUCUCUAGCGCACGCUGCCUCAAAUGAUCAGCGUCAGAAGGUUUGGAGGCAGCGGCAUAGAGUUUAGAACCCGUCUCGUUCUGUCCGACGCGUUCAGGGACACCUCCGGGGUGAUGCAUAUAAAAAUCUGCAAGAAACAAAAACAGAGUUAGAAAAUAUACGCAUGUAAAAAACACAAAAAAAACAGGCAAAGGAAGACCUUGUCGACUAAAAGUAUCCUCAAUCGCGUGACAGACAGGCACAGCGAUAGGAUGCAAAAAGGCGAGCCUUUGCACAGAAGCUCCCUCUUCCUCAGUCAGAUCAGGACGAGGAAUAGGCUUACGGCCACUAGUAGAUGCAGGGAGAAGUCUGCUGCCAGGGCAUAACCUGCAAUCCACAAAGAUGAACUCACUCUUGUUCCGCCUGGUCGGAGGAUCUUUCAAGAUAGCAGAGUGAGUGACAGAAGUAGAACGGCUGGCACAGGAAAUGAAAAGGCUGCCCUUCUUCGGAUUUUGAAAGGUGAAGAAGUGGAAGAACAGCCGAGCGGUAGAAACUAUGCCAGCAUCCCUGAGAAUGUUAAUAAAACCCCUGACAUAGAAGAAAAAGGCGGCACCCAUUUGGGAGAUGCACGUUCCAGAGUAAAGAAGUAUUUCACUAAUUAUAGAAGGGAUCGGAAGGAUCGGAAAGUUAGUAAAAUACACUCGAUGGAGUGCCAACAUGAAGUAGGGGGGCACGUCGCCAGUGUUCUCAGAGGGGUACGCCCAGUACACCCUCUCCCUAAGCUCUAACCCCCUCAAAAUUUUUCGGGCAGCAUCCAAGGAUAGGGUAUUAGAGCAGCUACCCGCGUUAGAAGAAAGGGGGUAGCCCGGAAUAUCAGUCAGAGAGACUGCACAAAAGGAACCAUACCCGGUUCCAUAUUCGCCCCGGUCAAGGAUAGGGACGACGUGGAAACCGUUACGGACAAGAACGGACCACUGACGCCAAGAACCAUCAAUCUCCCGAUAGAAAGAUGGGGCGUGCUUCUCUUCAAGGGGAGAAGGAAAGGGGUAUUUGUCCCUCGUCUCAGGGGGAUAAUCCAAGGGAGACCUUUUUAAAAUAUGAAUAUUUUGACUACGAACCUCGGGAGGAGGUGGAAUAGAACUGUCCGUAGUCAUAGAAAAAACCUCCGAAGUAGGAGUCUCCUCAGGAACAGAAGUCAAUAUAAUAGUGGGAGGAGGAGUCCUAACAACGGAGGGAGGGGUUCCUCCAAUAUCUACAUCCCCUGAGGAAGAAGAAUAAGAGGAGGAACCCGAGCUUCCCGAACCAGAUGUGGAACACUCCGAACUGGAAUGUACGGGAGAAGAAGGGGUAGCACCUACAAACAAAAAAAGGAACAAAUAAAAGUAAGUAAGUUACGAAAUAAAUAAUAAAUAAUCAAACUUACUAGCAGGUACAGGCUUGCGCGUACGACGGGAAAGCAUCUUUUUCCUACUUACGACAGGUGCGGAAGGAGCAACCUGAACCUGAACAGGAGCAGCCUGAACAGACUCUGGUUGAGUAGGAGCGUCCUGAACCUCGACGGGAACAGACUCCGAUUGAGAAGGAGCAUCCUGAACGUCAACGGUAACAGUCUCCAGUUGAGGAGAAGAAUUUUGCUGUGCGUUCUUGUCAGAAGACAUUAUCUGCACAAAGAACAUAGAAGUCAGGCCAAGUUAAGGCAAAAGUCGAUCCCAAGAAAAGUCGACCUGGACUUAAGGGGAUCGAAAUUGCAAAAUAAGGGAAGUCGAUCUCAGAAGUCGAUCCCAGAAAAGUCGGCUGUCAGAAGACAAAGGUCUCGAGAAGUCGAACACAGGGAAGUCGACUGACAAUAAGUCGAUUCCAGUAAAAAUGGAUCCAACUUUGAAAAGUCGAUGACAAGGCGUCAAACUUCACAAAGUCGGACCACAGUCCAAUGGGGAACAACUUCGAAAGGGACCGACUUUCAGAAAAGUCGGACACCAAGGAAGUCGAACCCAGUGCAGCCUCAGUAGAACCCGACAACAAAAGUCGGACCCCAGAAAGCUGCACCUCCAAGGCUAAAGUCGAAGCCUCACGCACGCUGGAAGUCGAAGCGAGAAAGUCGAUGCGAAGAGAGAAAGUCGAGGCGAAGAAAGUCGAUGCCUCAGAGCGAUGGAAACAAGUGAAGAGGAAGUGAACUCCCCUCCGCUAUUUAUAGGGGAAAGUCGAAUACGAACCGUCGCGGGCACUGUUCAUCCGGGUCGACCCGUUGGGCCGGAAAGCCCACGGGCCCGGCAGGCCCACGACGGCCCAGUCCGUGAAAAACCCCAAAACCCAACCAGAGGCCAUCGACAUUUCAAGAAAAUCCAUCGACAUUUCAGAAAAAACCUUCGACAUUCUGCAGAAAAGCAUGUUCGACAUUCCCAAGAAAAGGGGAUAGGCGUCGACAUUUAACAAGGAAAUCGAUACCUUCAAAAGAGAAGGUCAGAAUCGACAUUCCGCAGGUAAGCAUGUUCGACAUUCCCAGGAAAAGGGGAUAGGCGUCGAUAUUUAACAAGGAAGUCGACACCUUCAAAAGAGAAGGUCAGGAUCGACAUUCCGCAGGUAAGCAUGUUCGACAUUCCCAGGAAAAGGGGAUAGGCGUCGACAUUUGGCAAGGAACUCGAAACCUUCAAAAGAGAAGGUCAGGAUCGACAUUCCACACCACUCUCCUCGACAUCCUCAGAAAAAGGUGAGUUCGACAUUUUUAGACAACAUCGACAUUUCCAGGGAGAAAUGAGAUCGACUUGUCAAAAAUUCGACACCUUUAGAAAAGGAUCAGCAGUCAUCGACAUCCUCAGGAAAAGGUGAGAUCGACAUUUUUAGACAACAUCGACAUUUCCAGGGAGAAAUGAGAUCGACUAGUCAAAAAUCCGACACCUUUAGAAAAGGAUCAACAGUCAUCGACUUCCUCAGAAAAAGGUGGGAUCGACUUUUUUAGACAACUUCGACAUUUCCAGGGAGAAAUGAGAUCGACUUGUCAAAAAUUCGACACCUUUAGAAAAGGAUCAGCAGUCUUCGACAUCCUCAGAAAAACGGUGGGAUCGACAUUUUUAGGCAACAUCGACAUUUCCAGGGAGAAACGAGAUCGACUUGCCAAAAAUCCGACACCUUUAGAAAAGGAAAAAAAGAAUAUGGUACUAACCAAGAGAAUUUCGGUUACACUAACUUACUUCAAAGUAAAGGUGUAAGGCAAAGAAAGGAAAAGGUAAAAAGAUAUUUAUUCAAAAUUGCAAAAACGAUGAAUGAAAAAUUUUUACAGGUUCCUAAUUAAAAUUAAUACGGCAACGCAAGCGACGAGGGACCUGAUCCAGCGGAGAAGCACCGCGGCGGGGAUGCCUCCGACGUCGGCCACGGGGAGGAAUAGCAGAAGAAGCCACCAGACCAUUCUUCGAAAAUGGACUCCCGAGCAGCAACAGCAACACUCUGCCGCUCAACAAUAAGCUGGCGCAGAGAAGGAAGAUCCAAGGUCGACGACCGAGGAUCCAAAAUAUUCAGAAUUCGAUCCAGCUCCUCAAUCUCUCCCUGAAUAAAAUCAACAAAGAGACUCACAAGAAGAGCCAUGGAUGGAUGAGGGAAAAGGAGAACCUAGGGGUCCUAUUUAUAGACCCUAGGACAGCACAAAAGGACAAAAUUAGCAAAGUCGACUUUUUACGCAAGGGAUCGACUUUUGACCUAAAGCACCAGGAAUCGACUUUUUGACAAAAGUCGACCAAACUCAACAAGAGAUCGACAUUUAGCGAAAAUCGAGGAAAUUCAACAUGAGAUCGACAUUUAGCAAAAGUCGACCAAAACCAACAAGGGAUCGACUUUUUCUCCCACACAAAAGGGAUGCAGAAAAAAGAACCCAGACAAGUUGGAGUCGCAGAGACACACCAAGACAGGAGGGUGUAACACGAAAUGCUCCUGAGGAAUCGUGGAAGUCCACAACUCGGACGGGGAUACGACAGCAAAAUGAACUGAGCCAUAUAAAGAUAUUUGAACUCCUACUGUUACUGGACGCAGUAACAAAGUAGGACGCCAAAUUAACUCUAUCUGCGGAAGAACGCGGAUAGAGAAAGUCUUAAUGGUAACAGAGUCAGGAUGCGUAUCCCAUCCAAAGCAAAGAGUGAACCUCACCUACGGAAACGUAGUGUUAGACGAGGGACAUACUCAAAAGUGAACCCCACCUACGGAAGAACGUAGGUUAGACGGGGAACACAGCGGCAAAGAGUGAAC
rnacentral:lncRNA from 1 species